UACGGAGGGUGCAAGCGUUAUCCGGAUUUACUGGGUUUAAAGGGUGUGUAAGCGGGCUUUUAAGUCAGUGGUGAAAUCUCCGGGCUCAACCCGGAAACUGCCAUUGAUACUAUUAGUCUUGAAUUUUGUUGAGGUAGGCGGAAUAAGUCAUGUAGCGGUGAAAUGCUUAGAUAUGACUUAGAACACCAAUUGCGAAGGCAGCUUGCUAAACAAACAUUGACGCUGAGGCACGAAAGCGUGGGGAUCAAACAGG
rnacentral:rRNA from 1 species